rnacentral:rRNA from 1 species
UACGAGGGGAGCAAGCGUUGUUCGGAUUUACUGGGCGUAAAGGGCGCGUAGGCGGCGUGACAAGUCACUUGUGAAAUCUCCGGGCUUAACUCGGAACGGUCAAGUGAUACUGUCGUGCUAGAGUACAGAAGGGGCAACUGGAAUUCCCGGUGUAGCGGUGAAAUGCGCAGAUAUCAGGAGGAACACCGGUGGCGAAGGCGGAUCUCUGGGCCGUAACUGACGCUGAGGAGCGAAAGCAUGGGGAGCGAACAGG